CCUACGGGAGGCAGCAGUGAGGAAUAUUGGUCAAUGGGAGAGAUCCUGAACCAGCCAAGCCGCGUGAGGGAAGACGGCCCUAUGGGUUGUAAACCUCUUUUGUCGGAGAACAAAACCCGGGACGUGUCCCGGACUGCGUGUAUCCGAAGAAAAAGCAUCGGGUAACUCCGUGCCAGCAGCCGCGGUAAUACGGGGGAGGCGAGCGUUAUCCGGUUUCAGUGGGUUGAAAGGGUGCGUGGGCGUACAGUUAAGUCGGCGGUCAAAGCCGGGGGCUCAACCCCGGCUCGCCGUUGAAACUGGCAGUCUCGAGUUAGAGAGAAGUAUGCGGAAUGCUCGGUGUAGCGGUGAAAUGCAUAGAUAUCGGGCAGAACUCCGAUUGCAAGGGCAGCAUGCCGGCUCCACACUGACGCUGAGGCACGAAGGCGUGGGUAUCGAACAGAAUUGGAUACCCGGGUAGUC
rnacentral:rRNA from 1 species